rnacentral:rRNA from 1 species
UACGUAGGGGGCAAGCGUUGUCCGGAUUUAUUGGGCGUAAAGAGCGUGUAGGCGGCCUGAAAGGUCAGCUGUGAAAACUCGAGGCUCAACCUCGAGACGUCGGUUGAAACCAUCUGGCUAGAGUCCGGAAGAGGAGUGUGGAAUUCCCGGUGUAGCGGUGAAAUGCGCAGAUAUCAGGAGGAACACCGAUUGCGAAGGCAGCUCGCUGGAACGUAACUGACGCUGAGACGCGAAAGCGUGGGGAGCAAACAGG